CCCCUCUCAGAGUAGCACCUGGAGAGUUUCCAGUACUCUACCAGUCAUCACUACAGGAGGGAGAGUCAAGCAGAGGCCUACCUAUUCCAUUCCUAGCUUGGUCAGAGGUUAGUGAGUGGAAGGCAAUCUGCUACAAGU